rnacentral:lncRNA from 1 species
UAGAAAUGGAGUUAUAAAAUCUAAAAAGCCUGGCUGGCUGAGUCACUGCAUGAAGGAAAGCUGCCCUGGUACUUUUUCUUUGGUGUAGCUACCACCUUACCUGAAUAAUACAAAGUGUUGUCCUCCUCCCUCCUGGAAUUGCUUUACUCAGUGUGAGCUUUCGAGACAGUACAAAACAGGGGAGAGAGGAUUCAGUGUGUCACCCCGAAGCUCCAUGAAGUAUCCCCUGCAUUGAGAUCAACUCCUAACCAAGGAAGCACAGAGGGGAGGCAGGCAACCACCGAUUUCUGGAUGGAACUCAAGAAAAGCUUCCGCCUGGAUACCUGGGGUUUCUUGGAGCAAAGGACACAGCAACCUUUUCCAGAAGCCAGUGAGGCAGUGUGGGACUCUUUCAACUGAGAGAGGGCCAGAGCAGGCACUUUGAAAUUAGUAAUGUGAGUUGUGGUGAGAGCCCAUUAUUAAAAACUAAUCAGAAUUCUAAGAACUAAGGAAGGAAGGGAGGGAGGCAUCCACCAAGAUACACUUGCUACAAUCUGGGGUGGGGUACUUUCUGAGGCUUAUUAGAAGCAGGAUGUCUGAAGUAUCUUGCCAGUACUUCUGCCAGGUCAUGGGGUGCCAUCCAAAGGACCUCCCACUCUUACCCCUCUUCUCACCCCUUCCAGCACCAGAGAGAGAGAGAGAGAGAGAGAGAGAGAGAGAGAGAGAGAGAGAGAGAGGUGAAAAGAAGCUGACACUCACGGGGUGGUUAAAACACAAGUCAGAUACAGAGAAACCAACCACGAAGGCCCCACCUUUCCCAACCAUGAGCUCUUGCACAAGCAUCCAUGCUUAAGAGAAUGAAGAAGACUCGAUACAGAACCUCUUAGUUUGGGCUAAGAUCUUGAGUGGGCACUGGAGCACUAAAUCAAAACAGUGGCUGGGACUUAGAAUGACUUAAAAAGCCAGGAGUGCGUUUGCGUUGUUUUUAUUAGGGGCAUGAAAAGGUGGGCCUGCUGCAUAAAUUUUAAAGAGGUGACUGGAGAAAGCAAUAGAGGGUUGCUUUAAUUGCUUUUUCAAGCUGUGCUUUUUUUUGACCUGCAUUUUAUGGGUGUUCUUUCAUCUCUUAUAAGCAGCAAGGAGCAACGAUCUUUCAAAAUUACUUGGGCAUAAGAAAUGUUAAGCAUGUAUCAAUUGUAGGCCAUCCAUUAUCCUCCACUUAGGAUAUGAAAAUGUCCUUUGUGUUUUCCUGACUUUAGUGAGCCGCCUUGACUGUUAAUGAAAUGUGAGGAACAGCUGAC